rnacentral:rRNA from 1 species
ACGGAAGGCAGCAGUGAGGAAUAUUGGUCAAUGGACGGAAGUCUGAACCAGCCAUGCCGCGUGCAGGAAUAAGGCCCUAUGGGUCGUAAACUGCUUUUGUGGUGGAGCAAUAAGGCGUACGUGUACGUCGAUGAGAGUACAUCACGAAUAAGCAUCGGCUAACUCCGUGCCAGCAGCCGCGGUAAUACGGAGGAUGCGAGCGUUAUCCGGAUUUAUUGGGUUUAAAGGGUGCGUAGGCGGGCUAUUAAGUCAGCGGUCAAAUCGUGUUGCUCAACAAUACUUAGCCGUUGAAACUGGUGGUCUUGAGUGUAAAUGAGGUAGGCGGAAUGUGACGUGUAGCGGUGAAAUGCUUAGAUAUGUCACAGAACCCCGAUUGCGAAGGCAGCUUACCAAGAUACAACUGACGCUGAGGCACGAAAGCGUGGGUAUCAAACAGGAUUAGAUACCCUGGUA